rnacentral:rRNA from 1 species
AACGUAGGUCCCGAGCGUUAUCCGGAUUUACUGGGCGUAAAGCGUAUGCAGGCGGAUCGUUAAGUCGGGGGUGAAAUCCCGAGGCUCAACCUCGGAACUGCCUUCGAUACUGGCGAUCUUCGAGUCCGGGAGAGGUGAGUGGAACUCCGAGUGUAGAGGUGAAAUUCGUAGAUAUUCGGAAGAACACCAGUGGCGAAGGCGGCUCACUGGCCCGGUACUGACGCUGAGAUACGAAAGCGUGGGGAGCAAACAGG